rnacentral:rRNA from 1 species
UACGUAGGUGACCAGCGUUGUCCGGAUUUACUGGGCGUAAAGAGCGCGCAGGCGGUCGUUCAAGUCGAGUGUGAAAGCCCCCGGCUCAACUGGGGAGGGUCACUCGAUACUGAUCGACUUGAAGGCAGGAGAGGGAAGCGGAAUUCCCGGUGUAGUGGUGAAAUGCGUAGAUAUCGGGAGGAACACCAGUGGCGAAGGCGGCUUCCUGGCCUGUUCUUGACGCUGAGGCGCGAAAGCUAGGGGAGCAAACGGGGAUUAAGAAACC